AGCUCCAAUAGCGUAUAUUAAAGUUGUUGCAGUUAAAAAGCUCGUAGUUGGAUUUGUGGCGACUCAAGGUGCCCAAUUUUGGUGCUUCCUUGAGUUUCCAUCCUUGGGUGGAACCUGUGUGGCAUUAGGUUGUCGUGCAGGGGAUGCCCAUCGUUUACUGUGAAAAAAUUAGAGUGUUCAAAGCAGGCUUACGCCAAUGAAUAUAUUAGCAUGGAAUAAUGAGAUAGGACCUUGGUACUAUUUUGUUGGUUUGCGCACCGAGGUAAUGAUUAAUAGGGACAGUUGGGGGUAUUCGUAUUCCAUUGUCAGAGGUGAAAUUCUUGGAUUUCUGGAAGACGAACUACUGCGAAAGCAUUUACCAAGGAUGUUUUCA
rnacentral:rRNA from 1 species